AUAAUGAUACUUCUGUGCAAAACGCGCGGCCGGCGGGCAUCCCGGCGGAGGUGAGAUUCCUAUGA
rnacentral:ncRNA from 1 species